GGAGAGAUGGCUGAGUGGUCGAAAGCGGCAGAUUGCUAAUCUGUAGCACGUAUUCACGUGCCGGGGGUUCAAAUCCCCCUCUCUCCUC
rnacentral:tRNA from 1 species